GACAGAGGUGGCGAGCGUUGUUCGGAAUUACUGGGCUUAAAGGGCGCGUAGGCGGUGGGACAAGUCUGAGGUGGAAUCCGGAGGCUUAACCUCCGAACUGCCUUGGAAACUGUACUGCUUGAGUUAGACAGGGGAAGGCGGAAUUCCUGGUGUAGCGGUGAAAUGCGUAGAUAUCAGGAGGAAGGCCUGUGGCGAAGGCGGCCUUCUGGGUCUUAACUGACGCUGAGGCGCGAAAGCGUGGGGAGCAAACAGG
rnacentral:rRNA from 1 species